UACAUGCAAGUCGAACGAAGUCUUCGGACUUAGUGGCGCACGGGUGAGUAUCAUGUGGGAAUCUACCUGAAGGUUCGGAAUAACUGCGGGAAACUGUAGCUAAUACCGGAUGUGUCUGCAAAGAGAAAGAUUUAUCGCCUUCAGAUGAGCCCGCACUAGAUUAGCUAGUUGGUGAGGUAACUGCUCCACCAAGGCUACGAUCUAUAGCUGAUUUGAGAGGAUGAUCAGCCACACUGGGACUGAGACACGGCCCAGACUCCUACGGGAGGCAGCAGUAGGGAAUAUUGGACAAUGGGGGAAACCCUGAUCCAGCAAUGCCGCGUGAGUGAAGAAGGCCCUCGGGUUGUAAAACUCUUUCAUCAACGAUGAUAAUGACAUUAAUUGAAGAAGAAGCUCCGGCUAACUUCGUGCCAGCAGCCGCGGUAAUACGAAGGGGGCUAGCGUUGUUCGGAAUCACUGGGCGUAAAGCGUAUGUAGGCGGAUCAAAAAAGUUAGAUGUGAAAUCCCUGGGGCUCAACCCAGGAACUGCAUUUAAAACUAGUGAUCUAGAAAUUGGGUAAAGGUUAGUAGAAUUUCCAGUGUAGAGGUGUAAUUCCGUAGAUAUUGGAAAGAAUACCAGAGGCGAAGGCCAACUAACUAGGCCAUUUUUGACGCUGAAAUACCAAAGCCGUGGGUAGCAAACAGGAUUAGAUACCCUGGUAGUCCACGCAGUAAACGGAUGAGUGCUAGUCGCUGGGACAUUAGUUUCAGUGUCGAAGCUAACGCAUUAAGCACUCC
rnacentral:rRNA from 1 species